GUUGGGUGUGUUGGUGUACACCUGUAGUCCCAGCUACGCAGGAGGCUGAGGAUUUGCUGGAGCCCAGUUCUGGGCCACAUUGCACUGUGCUGAUCAGUUGUUCAUACUAAGUUUGGCAUCAGUAUGGUUACCUCCCAUAAGCGAGGGACCACCAAUUUGCUUAAGUAGGGGUGAAUUGGCUAGGUCAGAAACAGACUAGGUCAAAACUCCCAUGCUGAUCGAUAGUGGGAUCACGCCUGUGAUAGCCACUGUGCUCCAGCCUGGGCAAUACAGCAAUACUAUCUCUU
rfam:Nomascus leucogenys chromosome 13, whole genome shotgun sequence.